UCCUACGGGAGGCAGCAGUGGGGAAUAUUGCACAAUGGGCGCAAGCCUGAUGCAGCAACGCCGCGUGAGGGACGACGGCCUUCGGGUUGUAAACCUCUUUUAGCAGGGAAGAAGCGAAAGUGACGGUACCUGCAGAAAAAGCACCGGCUAACUACGUGCCAGCAGCCGCGGUAAUACGUAGGGUGCAAGCGUUGUCCGGAAUUAUUGGGCGUAAAGAGCUCGUAAGCGGUUUGUCGCGUCUGCUGUGAAAAUCCGAGGCUCAACCUCGGACCUGCAGUGGGUACGGGCAAACUAGAGUGCGGUAGGGGAGAUUGGAAUUCCUGGUGUAGCGGUGGAAUGCGCAGAUAUCAGGAGGAACACCAAUGGCGAAGGCAGAUCUCUGGGCCGUAACUGACGCUGAGGAGCGAAAGCGUGGGGAGCGAACAGGAUUAGAUACCCUGGUAGUCCACGCCGUAAACGGUGCGAACUAGAUGUGGGGUCCGUUCCACGGAUUCCGUGUCGCAGCUAACGCAUUAAGUUCCCCGCCUGGGGAGUACGGCCGCAAGGCUAAAACUCA
rnacentral:rRNA from 1 species